CGAGACAUAGCUCAGUUGGUAGAGCGCACGACUGAUAAUCGUGAGGUUGAAAGUUCAAUUCUUUCUGUCUCGA
rnacentral:tRNA from 1 species